rnacentral:rRNA from 1 species
UACGGGGGGAGCAAGCGUUGUUCGGAUUUACUGGGCGUAAAGGCGCGUAGGCGGCGUGACAAGUCACUUGUGAAAUCUCCGGGCUUAACUCGGAACGGUCAAGUGAUACUGUCGUGCUAGAGUACAGAAGGGGCAACUGGAAUUCUCGGUGUAGCGGUGAAAUGCGUAGAUAUCGAGAGGAACACCUGCGGCGAAGGCGGGUUGCUGGGCUGAUACUGACGCUGAGGCGCGAAAGCUAGGGGAGCGAACGGG